UGCAGGGCCGUGCGAACUCCUCCCACACCGUCAGCCUGCACUCGGGACCGCGUUCCUCUCGUCCUGACAUGGCGGUGCCUGCUGGCCCAAACAAACCCGCAGAUGCGUGGCGACGCGCUGGCUCGCUCGCUGCUGGUGGCGCAGUUCGUGUCCGCCGGCCAGCCGCUGCUGGCCGCAGCCAACCUGUCGCGCCCCGGCGUGCCGCAGCUGCUGGCGGCGCUGGCGGCGGUGCGGCGCGGCUACCGCUCCCUCAUCUGCCCCGCCUCCAUCACCGCGCCUGAGCGCGAGGUGGCCUGGCACUCGCCCUACGGCGGCGGCGAGCCCGACUGGAGCGGCUCCAACCCCGACCCCGUCGCCAACUGCGUGCUGCUGACGCUGGGCGGCGGCGCCAGCCGGCCCGGGCACAUGCUGGCGGCGGGCUUCAACCCGCAUGGCGAGCCCAUGUCCGUGUCGCUGCCGCGCCCGCCCGCCGGCGCCGUGUGGCGGCUGCUGGUGGACACGUCGCGGCCCGUGCCCACGGCGACCGCCGGCGGCGCCAGCCUGGGCGCGGUGCUGCCGCCGUCGGAGCAGGCGCAGUACACGCUGGGGCCGUUUGGCUCGGUGCUGCUGGAUGCCGUGCCGCAGGCCGGCAGCGCGGCGGCGGUGGGCGGGCCGGUGGCAGCGGCGGCUGCGCCUGGCUACGGCUUGUCGCCCGCGGCGGCGGCGGCCCGGAAGCACUGAGCGCUGUAAUGUUGUGUUUACGUUGACGUAUAUGCGAGUGCGAGUAAGACCUCGACUACAGGGCUGUGCUCCCAAAGCACUUCGGCCGGGGCCUGUGCAAGCAGUGCUACGGAUGGCAGUGGCGCAAGAACAAUGAAAGAGAAGGGCGGGUUUGCAUACGUUGUGGUGUAGUAGACGCGCCAGUGACACAGGCAACAAGCAACGUGUGAGUGGGUGCGAAGAUGCACCACUUGUUGGCGAGGGGUUUCUGUCGUGCUAGCGGUUGCCAAAUGCGGCCAGGGCCAGGUGUUGUUGUAUUGUUGCAUCAGUGUUUGUUAGUGCGUGGGCGCAUCAACCGCCUAUGAAGAUGUGCAAUAAGCAGGAAUUGAGCUUUAAGAUUGCAGACCACACGUGGGCAGGACGGCCCUGAACUGCUUGUCAUUCUUGGGCUCAGAGGUGCGAAGGGGUUUACUGUGAAUGCGAAGGCUUGUACGAGAGACUGCAGAGGUUGUGAUUGAAUAUGUGGCAAUGAUCAAAGCAUGGAGUAUGGAGAGUGGCAAGGUCAGGUUGCAUGGGCCAUGUGGAUAAAAGCGGGUGGCGGGUGGGGGCAUGGGUGGGGUGAAGCUGUGGUCGAACGUGCUGAUGAACUGCAAUUACUUGGUGACUUUGCUCGUGUUUUACAGUGCCCUCCACGGGUGCGACAUGCCCGCACGGUACUCGGGCCAUCCGUGGCUCUUGCCAACGCGGCGUCCCACACGCCGGAGCAGUGUGUUGAGUUUGCGCCUAGAACAGACGACCACUCAGGAUGGUGUAUUGAGGCUCGCGCUGAGACAGGAUCUCCCAUCACAACCCAUCUAGCGCCCUAAGCCAACGGACCUAGGCCGGAUUGCUAGCGGAUAGCUGGGGAAGACAGCAUCAACCAGUGCUCGUAUCUUCCAUCUACACUGUAGAAAUGUGCCCAAAAUCCGCCGAAGGCGGAGAAAAUUUUUUGGGUGUGGGUGCCGCGCAUCUACGCAGGUGUAGACGUUUUGGCCGGUUUUGGCGCAAAAAUGGGGGAAGCGUAGACGUUUUGGGGGGCUUUGGGGCUUGAGUGUAGAUGCCGCGGUCAGGGUCAUCUAUGCAUGUGUAGAUGCCGGGUGCCUGAGGGCAUCUACAAGAUACGAGCACUGGCAUCAACCUGUCCUCCAAACUCUGCAGCACGCACACGCUGCCGCACACACGCAUGCAUCACCCGCCAUCCUAAGCCAGACGCCACUGCCACUAAUCCAGCUGCGCCGCUUGGGCGGCCUGCCCAGCGCAGCUGGCCAUGGCGUGCCGUCCUCCACACACGUGGUGAUGACACGGAUGUUCGCCGCAGCGUUCAUGUCGCGGUGCCUGUUUCGCAGGGGACAACAGGGACACGGAUGCUAUGUUAUGUGCACCCGCCCACACCUGCACCCGCUCAAACCUGCAGACUUACCAGACCGUUCUGCAGUCUUGGCAGACGAGCAUACGCAUGCGAGCUCUUGUGUGGCGUCCUGGUGCCACAUUUGUAGCACACCUGUUUGUAAGAGGCACACCCGGUCAUCGUCAUUUUGCAAACACCCAAUUAACGCUUGCAUGCCAGUUGUAAAUUAUAGUAUCAUAGGCGCACAUUCUUACCUGGGAUGUUAGGUACUCGUCAAUAAUGUACACGCUUGCAUACCGCUCCGCCAGGAGCUUCUGCAUCGUCAAAAUACCAGCACAAACGCAGGAGAGAUGCGCCAUACAUGCUGUCACCCACAGUCCGACAUGAACGGUACUCGCAGAUACUGACAAAUAUGGGACAGCGCAGCCCCAGCCUCCAAGAUCCGCAAGUCAGCGUCAGGGGAGGGAAUAGAGACACUAGUCUGAAAGUAGAAGCCCGCAACCGCACCUUCUUGCCUCACCUCUCUAGAUCAACUUGCUGUCGUCCAGUCGUGGAUUGUGCCAAUGUAAAGGGAGGCUCGCUACAACCAAACUGCGAUGAUCGUUCAUCUAAAGCACCUUUGCACGACCUGUGCCUAGCCACGCCCCUUACUGCAACCGCCAACCCACAUGAGAAACGUCAUUUGCCACAGUCGCACCGAGUACACUGCGCCCCAUUCAAAGCCCAAUACGAGAAGGAUGAAUGGGGCAGCAAGCAGAAGCAUCCAUCUUGACUGUGAGCAGCUGUUGUGCAGCGAUGUGAGGAGGCCGUUCAUUAUUGCAAAGGUUGUGCAGCAGGGUUCCAGCCAAGCCUUCAUCAUGACAAGCUCCACCUACUCAUCGCAACAUGUGCGGACAUAGGCUUGAUUGUUUAUUGCGUUGUUUUCCAGCCGCAAAGGUUGUGCGGGGUUCCAGCGAAGCCUUUGUCAGGGGCCCCACCACACGGAAAACGACGCCAGAAACGAUCAGGCCCAUGUCCGCAUAUGUUGUGAUGAGUGGGUGAAGCUUGUCAUGAUGAAGGCUUGGCUGGAACCCCGCACAACCUUUAUCAAUAGUGAUCGGCCUCCUCGUGCCGCUGCACAACAACCGCUCACAGUCAAGGUGGGCACGGUCCUCCAGUCCUGGUGCUGGUGCGACGACGGGGUCUGCAAGGCGCCACGAACAUGCUCCUGUCGGCCACAUGGUGAUGCGCUGCUUCAGCGAAGUGCCCGAACAGCACCCAAAGCAAGCUGCCAUCACCUGCAUCAGCAAUCACGCAAGCACACAGAAACUCUUUAGGGUCUGCUCCAAUGCUUUUGCCCUGUUUAGCCCCGGAAGUGACGCACCAUGCGGGUCCAGAAGAGGGGCUGUGCUCUGAGUGGCAGCGCCUGCAGCAUGAGUGAAGGGGUGAGCAGGAGCAUUACGGUAAUGCGAUUUCACACGCAAUUUCGAUGCAGAUGAUUGCUUGGGGCGCGCACGUAUGCUGAGCGAAUGGGCAGGGUCACAGGAGUCGGUGAAGACAAACAUAGAGCUACACAGGCAUGACUUUCCUGGGUUGCCGGCCACGGUUGCCGGCCUGCAUUGCACGAAACCAUGUCGCACCACCACCAACUCACCGCCUGCUGCCACGCUUACUCUCCCCAAUACCCAGCGGCAGAGGCAGAUCCCGGGGAUGGCCAGCCUACUUGGCGCUCUUCGUGAUAGCUAGGGCUGGUGCUCAGGCCCAUCCGGCCGGUUAACAGCGCCGCGGGCAAACAUCAACCCCAACAACCCCAACCCGCUUUGGGACACUCAUUUGUUGGACGGGCAACUGGUCGCCUUCGGAACCCGCGCAGCUGUGCCCACGACUGCAAGCCUACGCAGCCGCGCUCUUCGCGGUAGCUCAAGGGAUGCUAGGGCUGGUGCUAAGGCCCGACCGCCGGUAAUCCAGGCCCUAGGCCAGAAUUUGAACUCACCGGCUUCUGCCAGUCCAGCCGCCGCCGCCGCUGCACGACAUGGGAGCGGUCGGGGAACACGUGGAGAUUACGGGGUGCAUGUCAGAGUGUGUAAAUGCGACGCGCGGAAACGCGGUGCACUGCGGGAGGCUUGGGACACAACCCCAAUACGCCUCGGUUAUCAGUUGUCGGUUGGUCGGUCAGUCGGACACGUUCAGCUGCAGCAACGUACUCUAACCGUUGAAGCUCGGCAAAAACGCCCAUCAGGCCUCAAUACCAACAAGAACGCAAGGUCAGUGCAUCGAUUGUGGUGGUGCAACACCGCAACGCUCACCGUCCUGCUGCUGCUUCUCCUUGCGCAGCUGCUCCUCCUGCUUGCGCACGUGCUCCUUCUCCUUGCGCAGGUGCCCUCCUUCUUGUGCAAGUGCUCUUCCUUCGUGCUCAGCCGCUCCAGGUCCUGCUCGGCAGCUGUCAAGUCCAUAACGCACGACUGCUGCUCCUCAGCCAGCGCCACCCUCUCCUGCUCGCGGAGAUCUGGGCGCUUCAGCUUCUCGGCUAUUUCGCGAAGCUUCGCCCUGGCCGCGUUCCUGGUCCGCGUUGCCUUCUCCAUUGCGGCUUCUGCGUGGCGCAGUUGCGCUUCGACAUCUUUUAUCUGUUUUGUGACGUCGUCAAUUUCAGACCCAAUGGUAGCAGAGUCGCGCACGCGUUUGACCAUUUUAGCGGUGCUCAGAGCAAGCUUUGCGGUUCCGGUGAGGAAAGUACAGUAAUGCAACUUGCAUAUGCACUGCAGGUAUUUGGCAGUUGCUGCGCUGUUCUUCAUCGGGCUGCUCCGGUGCGCUGCACUAUGCAAACAUGAGCAGUCCGUACUGCGCCCCACCCUGCGCAUUACGGAUACGGCGCGCGUGCCGCCGGAGCUGCAGUCUGGCCCGGAUGCGGCUGCCCAACGCUCCGUGCUGCUGGCCCGUGUGCCGGCGGCGUGGCGGGUGGCGGCGUCGGCCAUACUGCAUGCACCUGGCGGCGCGGCCUCCGCGCCUCCUGCCCCCCAGGCAGGCUGCUAAUUGCGGAGAGCCUACUGUAGGGUGGCGGCACGGCGCGGCUGAAGUGCUGACCCUCACGGUGAAGCAGGCAUCCAGCUUCAGCUCGCGCCUGCAUUUGAAGCGCUACGCAUGCGUCACUUGGCUUGCAUCCAAGAGGCCUACAGCGGCGCCGCGCCGCCGGCGGAGGCGAUUCAUGCACUGCGCGGGGCCCUGGCACGGCUGUGGGCUCUGGUGUGGGACCCGCGAUACAAGGAACCGCUCUGGCGCCUGGCAGUCAAUGGAGUCACGGGCUUUGGGAUGCUUGCGGCAUUGGCCGCGGAUGGGCGUGUGAAUGGGACAGUGUCAAGGCAGGUUGGUAAAGUCCCGUAGGGUGCAGCUGAUUCCCAGAACCCAGCAGAUGACAAACAAUAUGCAACGGCAGGGCAGGAGUACGCGGCCGGUCGAACGCCGGAGUUACUGUACCGACGAGUUGCUGGCUGGCUGGAAGUUUGCUGAUGCGCAUGCCUCACGCUCCGGGCGCCCGGCCAGGCGAUAGCACCACACAGACACACCGCAACGCCACACUCGCGAGGCAGUGCCGCAUCGCACCUGCAGGAAGAUGACCAGCGUCCACGGAUGGCCGCGGAUGGGCGUCAGAUGACUGCUGGGGCUAGGGGUCACCACUUCUGGGACUGUGUAGUGGCGGAGGCUCUGCAUGAUGUGUUGCGGGAACAUGCGAAUGUGGACAUCGCACGGCACCAGUUGUGGUUGGCCCAUGCGCCACCAGGGCUAUCGCAGGCGGUGUGGGACACCGUGUUCUUGGCUGCUGUGGCGGCACUGGAGUACGGCCGACAGCGCCUUUACGCUUGCCGUGGUGCCUGGCUGGCCGCAGCCAACCUGUCGCGCCCCGGCGUGCCGCAGCUGCUGGCGGCGCUGGCGGCGGUGCGGCGCGGCUACCGCUCCCUCAUCUGCCCCGCCUCCAUCACCGCGCCCGAGCGCGAGGUGGCCCGGCACUCGCCCUACGGCGGCGGCGAGCCCGAC
rnacentral:lncRNA from 1 species